rnacentral:lncRNA from 1 species
UUCAGGAGCUCAGACACCCUUUCUAACCUCUAAGAGCAUCCCACACAUGAUAUACAUACACAGGUUCAGGCAAAGUGCUCUACACAUUUUUUUCAUGUUUAUCUUCAAUAACUCAGAACAAAACACCCAUUGGGAUAAAAGACCUGAAUCAAAAUACCCUUUUACAGUAGAAGAACCAUUCCUUUAUAUCAUCAUUCCAAACACUGAGAACCCAGCUGCACCCCAGCAGUAGCCAGGUCAGCCUUGGAGAGCUCAAGUACAUGUUAUUGAGCCUAUGCAUAAACUCAAUCUCUGCCACCAUGGCCACUUUGUUCAUGUGCCCAUCGGGCAAUAACAGAGAUAUGGAAAAUAUAAAUACACACACACCACUCGUAUUACAAGGGCUUUUAGGCUAUGCUCCAGCUAGUCAAACAAUGGCUGUCAACCAAAGGAAAGCCCGAUAAUCCAAUAGUUGUUCAGUUCAUGAGGCUAGAUGUCUCACUCUUCAGUAUAUGCCAACUAGGCUCUAAUGCUAGUGAAGGACUUGCCAGUGGGAGAGCCAGGGCAAGCAGGCAAGAGAGAGGAAGCUUCCUCCUCCCUUGUCUUUUAUAUAGGUUGUCAGCAGAAGGUAUGGCCCAGAUUAAAGGUGGAUCUGCCCACCUCAGAAGAUCUGGAUUAGAAGAGGGUCUUCACACUUCAAAUGAAGCAAGAAAGAAAAAAAUAAAAUCCUUUGCAGGUAUACCCAGCCACUUGGGUUUUAGUUAAUUCCAGAUAUCAUCAAGUUGACAACCAGAAUAGGCAUGUCUACCCUUUCUCAACUUUGUGUCAUGUUUAAUUUCCAAAUGAAAACAAUAACCAGGUCAUAAUGCCUAAACAUAACUAUCUCACAAACAAUCACAAACACACUAUAUAUUUAACCAGGUCAUAAUUAACACAAUAUAACUAUUCCUUACACAACUGCAAAUACAUUCUAAAUUUAGAACAGGUGGCAGAUGUCCCUUAAGGGACAUUUUAGUAUCUCAAAACUUAAAUGUGAUUACCAGUGAUAAUCUCUUAAUUGAUGUUAUAUGAUAAAAUGGAGGAAAGAAAACAAAUAUCUGUACAAACACAUUCUUAGUAAAAUUUUAUGGAAGCACUCAUGUCAGUUAUAAUCCUCACGUCUGUAACUGGUCAUGUGGCUUUAGCAGAUAUUUAUUACCACCUCCCUCUGCCACCCAUUCUAUCUCCUCCCUCAGUAAGUACCUCAGUAGGACCUCCAUUCCUGAUGGGUCUGUUGUGCCCUUUGUCAUCCUGCCUGGAUUAAAUUGUUGGAGUUUCCCCUUGGCUUUAAAUACAGGACAUGAUGGCACCGAGAGAGCCCUAAGAAGGAUCUCCAGCAUUCCAGACAUUUUUCUUACCUCUAUUGUGGAGAAGCAAUACAAUUUCCCCAUGGUAAUCUGGAUCAAUCACCCCUCCUAACACAGUUCUUUAGCCUGUUGAUUUAAGGACAUCAGAAACCCAAAGUGGCCAGGGGGAAGUCUGAGCUUCCAGUUCAAUGGAAGGCUUGUUUUGUCGCCUGGAAGGAUCACUCCCCCUUCUGGAACCAAAUCUUCUAGGCCAGGAGAACUUAAGAUCAUAGGAACAGGAAGCAAACAUUUUCCUAGUGGGUCACUUGGGGUGAUAGUGGAACUAUCCCCUUUUCCACCCCUUGAUUCCUGAGCCUGUGGAUCCUGGCUAUUGGGAGCAGACUCCUAGCAGAAAGCAGCUAUCAUCUCUGCAGCCAUCUUGGGCUAUUUACUUACAGGUGCUACUUUUCCAUCCUGAUGAGAGACUUGUUUUCCUAGCAUGAUGUUUUGCAAGAAGCCCACCACAGCUGAACACAUCUUGUUUUUCUCCUAUACAUCCUGGACCUGUGGCUAAGUGUCUCCAGCUGCACUCCCCAGCAAGUGCAUAUAUAUCCAUAAUUGCCUUUCAAUAAACAAGACUUGAGC